rnacentral:rRNA from 1 species
GACGAACGCUGGCGGCGUGCCUAAUACAUGCAAGUCGAACGCAGUGGGGACGGGUGCGUAACACGUGGGUAACGUCCCAUAAGAGGGGAUAAACCUUGGAAACAGGUGCUAAACACGAUAUGGGUGGAGGGACCCGCGGUGGAUUAGCUAGUUGGUGGGGUAACGGCUCACCAAGGCAACGAUGCCUAGCCGACCUGAGAGGGUGAUCGGCCACACUGGAACUGAGACACGGCCCAGACUCCUACGGGAGGCAGCAGUAGGGAAUCUUGGGCAAUGGACGAAAGCCUGACCGAGCAACGCCGCGUGUAUGAAGAAGGUUUUCGGAUCGUAAAACUCUUUUGUUAGGGAAGCGUUAUCUACCCAGAAAGCCACGGCUAACUACGUGCCAGCAGCCGCGGUAAUAC